AAAAAAUAUAAUUGUCUUAUCAGGCGUCCUCACAAGUUACUUGCAUUCAGGGUUUGAUGUUGGCAUAGGUUUGGGUUUAUGUUGGCGAUUUUUGUUCUGGGGGCCUUAGCUCAGCUGGUAGAGCACCUGCUUUGCAAGCAGGGGGUCGUCGGUUCGAUCCCGACAGGCUCCACCAUGAAAGUAUUUAUGGGUCUGUAGCUCAGGUGGUUAGAGCGCACCCCUGAUAAGGGUGAGGUCGGUGGUUCGAGUCCUCCCAGACCCACCAAUGUUAUAUCAAUUAUUCUGAAUGUGGUUUGCGCAUUUUUUAUGCUUAUCAGCCUUGGAGCUGUGAAGCGUUCUUUUAUAAUUUGAUGAUGUAGCAAGCGUUUGAACUUUUUGUUAAUAAUUUCUCAUUGGAAGCCUUAAGUGACAAUGUUUAUCCAUUGUCUUGUAGAUUUUGAGGCGACUUUGGG
rnacentral:misc_RNA from 1 species